rnacentral:lncRNA from 7 species
CCCCUGCUCUUGGGGCCAAGGAGAGCCUGGCAGCCAGUCAGGGAAAUCUCAUUAUAUCUGAAGCAAAUUUGGGGAAAUGUCACCAACCAAUGAAGCACUAAAUGUCUUUAAGGAAGUGCGUAGGUGCGUCUUCAUGGAAAUUAAACUGUAAGGGAUAUGCAUGAGCCAAAGUAAAUAGUGGCAGCAGGAGAUGAAGCAUUUACACACAUCAACUCCAUUGUAUAACUGCAAGAGUCCGACCAAAAAAAAGACAUCAAAAACAAUCAAACCUGCUUGGCUGUACAGGAAAAUGGAAGAUGAAGCACAAAUAAUCUGGACCCUGAAAUAGACCACUUUAUAGGGCCUCCAGUUGCAGCCACUGUCUUUGUGUCUCUUUUGUAAUAACAAGCUCUUGUAAAAUGAAAUAUUUAAAAUAAAAUGUGCUUACAAAGAGACAAAGCACAAAACCGUGCUGCAGCCACCACAUACAUUUCUUUCCUUAAUUGAUUGUUCCUUUUUGAAACACAUGGCUGUUGUUUCUAGGAACUCAUCUGCAUGCUUAUGGAAACAUUUUUUCUCUUUCUGUGCCAUGGCUCUCAGGUUACUCUGACCAGCUAUGUAAGUUGUUAGCUGUGCUGAAAUAACUUGGAAACUGCUUACUGUUUUCUCCUGUUACUCAUGUAGUACACUUCUAAGGGAUGUAUUUAGCCUUUCAUGAUCAUUCUUCUACAUUAUGGCUUAAACAUUAGUUCUUAAUAAAGGAUGAAAUGCUCUGG